rnacentral:lncRNA from 1 species
CCACUGCCCAGCUGCUUGAGGAAAACCACUCUCUUGCCCCUGUGGCGCCCAGUGAGGAUGAUCAGGACAGUCCCGGGAGUGAUGCUGGAGCGCAGCCUCCUCACGUGCUGGCUGAAGGGCUUCUUGCCAUGGCUCAGCAGCUUCCGAGGUACGUCUUCAGUAGGGUAAUACCUAGGCAUUUUUCGAAGCUUCACCACCCGGGUGCCACCGUUCUUGUCCCCACCAACUGUUUUUGUGACGGUAGCAAGGACCUUUUCUUUCUUCUUCUUCUUCUCAACCUUUGUCUUGGCAGCAGAGUAUUUCCUUUUGUACAAGGCCUUUCUGGAAUACAUAGCAGAUCGGGAAUACCUGCCGAUUCCUCUCACCAGGACAGGCGGGCGGGGCCCGGGGGGCAGUAGCAUCACCGCCAGCCUUCUUGGCUGCAGGUUUCUGCUCCUUUUUAUCAGGCUUCUCCGCCUUUUCACCCGCCAUCUUGCAAGACGGGAAAGAG